UACGUAGGCAGCAAGCGUUGUUCGGAAUUACUGGGCGUAAAGAGUGUGUAGGCGGUGCUCUAAGUCUGUUGUGAAAUCUCCCGGCUUAACCGGGAGGGUGCGGCGGAAACUGGAGUGCUUGAGGGUGGGAGAGGUAAGCGGAAUUCCUGGUGUAGCGGUGAAAUGCGUAGAUAUCGGAAGGAACACCAGUGGCGAAAGCGGCUUCCUGGUCCAGCACCGACGUUCAGGCACGAAAGCGUGGGGAGCAAACAGG
rnacentral:rRNA from 1 species